GACGAGGGGUCCUAGCGUUGUUCGGAAUCACUGGGCGUAAAGCGCAUGUAGGCGGCUUGAUAAGUCAGUUGUGAAAGCCCUGGGCUCAACCCAGGAAGUGCAUCUGAUACUGUCGAGCUUGAGUAUGAGAGAGGGUAGUAGAAUUCCUGGUGCAGUGGUGAAAUACGUAGAUAUCAGGAGGAAUACCGGUGGCGAAGGCGGCUACCUGGCUCAAUACUGACGCUGAGAUGCGAAAGCGUGGGGAUCAAACAGG
rnacentral:rRNA from 1 species